UACAGAGGUCUCAAGCGUUGUUCGGAAUCACUGGGCGUAAAGGGUGCGUAGGCCGCACGGUAAGUCAGAGGUGAAAUCCCGGAGCUCAACUUCGGAAUUGCCUCCGAUACUGCCGUGCUUGAGGACUGGAGAGGAGAUUGGAAUUCACAGUGGAGCAGUGAAAUGCGUAGAUAUUGUGAGGAACACUAGUGGCGAAGGCGAAUCUCUGGACAGUUCCUGACGCUGAGACGCGAAAGCAUAGGGAGCAAGCAGG
rnacentral:rRNA from 1 species